rnacentral:rRNA from 1 species
CUACGGGCGGCAGCAGUGGGGAAUAUUGGACAAUGGGGGAAACCCUGAUCCAGCAAUGCCGCGUGUGUGAAGAAGGCCUGCGGGUUGUAAAGCACUUUCGGUUGGGAGGACUGCUUCUAGCACUAAUAUUGUUGGAAGUUGACGUUACCUUCAGAAGAAGCACCGGCUAACUCCGUGGCCAGCAGCCGCGGUAAUACGGGUGGUGCAAGCGUUAAUCGGAAUUACUGGGCGUAAAGCGCGCGUAGGCGGCUAGAUCAGUCGGGUGUGAAAGCCCCGGGCUUAACCUGGGAACUGCAUCCGAUACUGUCUAGCUUGAGUACAGGAGAGGAGAGUGGAAUUCCACAUGUAGCGGUGAAAUGCGUAGAUAUGUGGAGGAACACCAAUGGCGAAGGCAGCUCUCUGGCCUGAUACUGACGCUGAGGUGCGAAAGCGUGAGGAGCAAACAGGAUUAGAUACCCGAGUAGUC